UGCAUCGGAUCGAUUUAGCCAUGCUAGUUGCGCGAGUUCAGACUCGCAGCAGAUAGCUCAGUAACACGUGGUCAAGCUACCCUGCAGACACGGACAACCUCGGGAAACUGAGGCUAAUCCGCGAUACCGAUCCCACGCUGGAAUGCCGGGAUCCACAAACGCUCCGGCGCUGCAGGAUGCGGCUGCGGCCGAUUAGGUAGACGGUGGGGUAACGGCCCACCGUGCCGAUAAUCGGUACGGGUUGUGAGAGCAAGAGCCCGAAGACGGAAUCUGAGACAAGAUUCCGGGCCCUACGGGGCGCAGCAGGCGCGAAACCUUUACACUGCACGCAAGUGCGAUAAGGGGACUCCGAGUGCGAGGGCGUAUAGUCCUCGCUUUUGAGAACCGUAAGGUGGUUCUCGAAUAAGAGCUGGGCAAGACCGGUGCCAGCCGCCGCGGUAAUACCGGCAGCUCAAGUGAUGGCCAAUCUUAUUGGGCCUAAAGCGUCCGUAACUGGCCGUGAAAGUUCGUCGGGAAAUCCAUCCGCUCAACGGAUGGGCGUCCGGCGAAAACUUCACGGCUUGGGACCGGAAGGCUCGAGGGGUACGUCCGGGGUAGGAGUGAAAUCCUGUAAUCCUGGACGGACCGCCGAUGGCGAAAGCACCUCGAGAAGACGGAUCCGACAGUGAGGGACGAAAGCUAGGGUCUCGAACCGGAUUAGAUACCCGGGUAGUCCUAGCCGUAAACGAUGUUCACUAGGUGUGGCACAGGCUACGAGCCUGUGCUGUGCCGUAGGGAAGCCGAGAAGUGAACCGCCUGGGAAGUACGUCCGCAAGGAUGAAACUUAAAGGAAUUGGCGGGGGAGCACUACAACCGGAGGAGCCUGCGGUUUAAUUGGACUCAACGCCGGACAUCUCACCAGCUCCGACUACAGUAAUGACGGUCAGGUUGAUGACCUUACCACGAGCUGUAGAGAGGAGGUGCAUGGCGCCGUCAGCUCGUACCGUGAGGCGUCCUGUUAAGUCAGGCAACGAGCGAGACCACGCACCUAAUUGCCAGCAGCAGUUCCGACUGCUGGGUACAUUAGGGGACUGCCAGUGCCAAACU
rnacentral:rRNA from 1 species